rnacentral:rRNA from 1 species
GAUGAACGCUGGCGGCGUGCCUAACACAUGCAAGUCGAACGGAGAUUACGGACGGAAGUUUUCGGAUGGAAGCCUGUAAUUCUUAGUGGCGGACGGGUGAGUAACGCGUGGGCAACCUGCCCUAUACAGGGGGAUAGCAGCUUGAAACGGCUGGUAAGACCGCAUAAGUCGGUUAAAUCGCAUGAUUUGAUCGGGAAAUGAGCAAUCAGGUAUAGGAUGGGCCCGCGUCCGAUUAGCCAGUUGGCAGGGUAAAAGCCUACCAAAGCGACGAUCGGUAGCCGGACUGAGAGGUCGGACGGCCACAUUGGGACUGAGACACGGCCCAAACUCCUACGGGAGGCAGCAGUGGGGGAUAUUGCACAAUGGAGGAAACUCUGAUGCAGCGACGCCGCGUGAGUGAAGAAGUAUUUCGGUAUGUAAAGCUCUAUCAGCAGGGAAGAUGAUGACGGUACCUGACUAAGAAGCCCCGGCUAACUACGUG